GAAAAGCAUUCUUCGGGGGAAAGGAGAGCUUGUUCUUUAUCGGCGUCCAAGGAACGUGUAUGUGAGGCGGGAGUGACAGUGGGAACCCGGGCGACACACUUGAGCAAGCGUCAGCAGGAUACAGGGUGCGAGACACAUUCUUCUUGGGUGCAUCUAGAGGUGAAGUAACCUCAUCUUCUGACGAGGAGUACAGGACACUAUCCGGUGCGAAGUUCGCAGUCUUUUACGGGGAGUCCUCGAUAAUGAUCACGGUAUGGGAUUUUUCUAUCUUCACAUCGUAAAGUCCAAACACCUCACACAUCUGGAGAUAUUCCGGCUCACCCUUGUGAUAAUAGGCUUUGAAGAAUUCGUUCUCCUACACACGUAUUUAUAUUACUUCGAAUGAUAUGCAUGCAUGAAAUUACUCGAAAAACAAGGGUGCGAAAAAACAACCUUGAAGAGUCGCUUCCAUACUUCGUCGUCGGCAUGAACCAUGUUCGUCGCCGCAUCCCAGUUGGUCUCCGGCAUUUUAAGCAGUUGCUUGAAGCAAACAUAUCGAUCGUGCAGGAAAUCGACACGUCCCUCGACCUGUUUCAAAGUGACCUCCGCCUUGAGUUGUGAGUUAAGCGCUAGCAUCGCGGAUAUUAAGGCAUGAGGAGACAGGUGCGGUGGCGAUGGCUUGCAAUCGUCGAUCUUAUUGGCGAGGCACUUCAACAACAUGGAAUCCUUUUCGGCAUCCCAUUUGUGGACAUACAGAAACCAUGUCUGCGGGCCUAUGCCAUUGAUCGGCAUGUUGAAAGAAGGGAGGUGAAAAAGCUCAAGGUAAACCUUGAAGAUGGUGUGAAUUUGAUACUGAAACUAAGGCUUAAACCACUCCAAUUUAUAAGCUUAAGCAUUGGCUUCUCGGUGGUGUAAGACUAUGUCAUUUAUUAUGGUGGAAAUAAAUAUGGGAGUUGGUGGUUGUUAGUCAUUUAAUCAAUAUGGAGAUAAACUCUGUCUUUUUUUGUUCCAACAAGCAAGACUCUAUUUUUAGUUAAAUUGGAAGGUAGAUUGCAGCCAUAAUAUGUGUAUUCAGGCGUAUUUUUAUGAAAUGCAUUCAAUGAGGUUGCCAAUAGCUAAGGCAAAAUUGAA
rnacentral:lncRNA from 1 species